rnacentral:rRNA from 1 species
AACGAACGCUGGCGGCAUGCCUAACACAUGCAAGUCGAACGAGAUCCUUCGGGGUCUAGUGGCGCACGGGUGCGUAACGCGUGGGAAUCUGCCCUUAGGUUCGGAAUAACAGUUAGAAAUGACUGCUAAUACCGGAUGAUGACGAUAAGUCCAAAGAUUUAUCGCCUGAGGAUGAGCCCGCGUAGGAUUAGCUAGUUGGUGUGGUAAAGGCGCACCAAGGCGACGAUCCUUAGCUGGUCUGAGAGGAUGAUCAGCCACACUGGGACUGAGACACGGCCCAGACUCCUACGGGAGGCAGCAGUGGGGAAUAUUGGACAAUGGGCGCAAGCCUGAUCCAGCAAUGCCGCGUGAGUGAUGAAGGCCUUAGGGUUGUAAAGCUCUUUUACCCGGGAUGAUAAUGACAGUACCGGGAGAAUAAGCCCCGGCUAACUCCGUG